ensembl:lncRNA
GCGCUAGAUUCCUAACCGUGCAGAAAUGUUGGCCAAUCAGAAGUCUAGAAGCCUCGGUGGGAAAAAGUAAACAAAGCUGGGGCAUAGAAGCAGAACCGAGUCGUAUGUGUGGAGGGACAGUAACUGUGUGUAUAUGUAAGCAUUUAAACACUGCAGAGAGUAGAAUUAACAGUAACAGUAUUGUAGAAAUUCAUUUCACAGAAACAAUAACGUGGCGCACAGUGUGACGCAUGCACCAGUUUAUUGUAUUUCCAGACUUGCUUUCGGCACAUUUACAGUGCACGCUACUGUUUUUUGUCAGACUUGAAAUAGCCGAAAUACCUUCACACUACGGAACUUCUAUGGCUCUUCCGUUCGACAAUCUCUCCGGCGUUGGAACCAUCAUCUGUUUUCUCUUCGGUCACGCUCGGUUGAUUUUUCUAGUCGGCACACUCAUUUCCUCCAUUACGCGCUGGCUCCAUUACCCGCUGGCUGCUUCCCAAACAAACACACGUGCGGCUUGGCACUUGUGCUGUACGUAACAAGUCACGCGACGUGACGCUGCGGCUGUGAUUGGUUCGGCUCUGCGCUACUUAAUUUGAAUUGGCUGACCUUUUUUUUAAUUUUUUUUUUUUUUUUUUUAAGAGGACAAGAGCGGCGAGGUCUAUCGCGAUAGCUUAAUUUCUCUAUCGAGUAAAAGUUAUAUCGCGAUACAUAUCGUUAUCGUUCUAUUGCCCAGCUCUACUCAGAACCCAUCCAAGCCUCCAUCGCCAUCUUUACCACCACCAGCAGCUAGAUUGUCCUAAAUCCUAUCACUGAUUUGCUGUUCUGCUGUGAUUGGUAAUCAAAGUGUAAUCGCCUAUGUAAUGGAGACCAGGGGUUCCAUUACUCUAACCUGUAUUUUUAUUAAUUUGAUUCUUUGGCCUAGACCUGGGGUAUAGAGUAUGUUUGGGGAGUGUGAUUGUGUGUACAGUGUCUAUUUAUGUCUGUCUCCACGUUGGGUGAGUGCUGACUGUUUGGCAUAUGUGUGGGGGUGGGAAUGGAUGUUCGUAUCUGUGUGUGCCUGUUUGUCUGUGUCUAUAUGUCAGGUCGGGUAUCAGACGCCACCUCUCCAGGGACAUCUCAGGCCCUUCAAGGUAUGGAGGCCUAUCUCCCCUCACCACUCCCCCUGCCGGUGGCAGACACCUCAGACAUUGGUGUGUUGGUAGUUCUUUGUGUCAGGGGCUGGGCGCUCAGGUAUGCAUCGGCUCACUCCCGGUGGCUGCUUGUCGGGGCCUGUCUCCUGUGGCUCAGGUCAACUCUGGCACAGCUGGCUGCCGGCGGAGCUCACGGGCACGUCACUGCAACCCCCCCUGGCUUCUGCUCCACGGCUGCUGGGUGAACCCUCAUCUGGGCUCUCCUCAGCUCUUUCUGGGAGAGUGGCAUGGUUGCCCCUCCAUUGGUCUUCCUUGGACUCUUGCGCUCUGGGGGUCUCUGAAUGUCUGGACCCUGGAUCUCCUCCAUACCUGCUUCAUGCCCUGGGGGGACGGGGCUGUGGCUCCCCACACCGUCUAGCAGAUCAUUACAUGAAGGAACCUUUUGAAUACAAUAGCGCUCAUGCUCCCAGGUGUACACACGGGUGCUCACACACACAAACUACACCAUUUUUGGCUGCUACCUCAAAGCACACAGUGCAGUGCCAAUUUUACGUGCUGCACAAUAAUAUUCAGUAUUUAGUAUUUACUGUUAUAUACACAUCGAUUAUUGUGAUGAUGUUGUUUAUUAUUCUUAUUAUUCUUUUUUGCUUGUUUUCUCUUUUUUUUCUUCUCAACAGGUAAUCCAGGUGAUUAAUUAAUGUAUUUUUUGCCCCCUCACCUUUUUUUUUUUGUGCCCUUCAUCACCGUUCCUCUUCCCUGCUGUUUUUCUUUCCCUCCCUCUCUUUCUUUCUCCCUUUCCUUUCCCCCACUCAUGUCUGUCCCGUAUGUAACAACCCAAAAUAAAAUAAACAAAGCUCAAUCACAUGGACCAAUACAACAAGGCCGGGAUGGUCCACUUGGUAAAGUAAAUCCGUUGGGCCUCUUUCUUGGCUUUCAGACAAUAAUUCUGAUGGCAAAAGAACCAAACAAGCGGCAAAAAAAAAAAAAAAAAAAAAAGAUUCUUUGGUAUUUAAUGAGCUACAGGAAAACACACACACACACACACACACACACACACGGCUUGGUGAUUCUUUAUUAGAUUUAUCAGGUUUGACAUUUGGAUUAGUAUUUAAGUGACUGUUUGUGGAAGGUGAGGAGACAGAGGGGAACAGGCAAUCCUACCUGUGUCAGGAAAGCGAACCUGAGUUAGAGCUGUUCACAAUUUAUUGUUUGUUUUGUAAACCUAAAUUCUUUGUACAUGUAUUUAAGAGAAGUGUGUUCACAGCACUCAUCUUUUC